AAAUGUGAGAUUUUUGCACUUUAAUGUGUGUGUAAAGAAUCCAGGGUGUUUAGUUGGGUCUACUCUUCAUUAUAAAACUGUUUGCUUAUUAAUAUAAGGAAUUUGAAAUUAUUUAUAGGUUUAUAAGUCUAUUUUAUCCAAUUACAUUUUUGAUACUUAAAAGUAUAUUUAAAACCAAAUACUUUUAGACUAUUAGACUAUUACUCUAGUAUUUUACUGGGUGACUUUAACUUGAGUAAAAGUAAAGAUACCUUAAUAGAAGUCAUGUAUGACAAUUGGGUACUUUUUCCACCACUGCACUGGUUCUGUGUAAUUUAGGAAUAACUUUUACCCAAAGCGACUUAGCUACGAUCAUGCUUGCUUCGUCCCGCAAAGUAUUGUUCCUAGAGAUACUGAAUAUGCCGCUGUUCAGUGGAAACGUUAUUUUCGUUUGAGUUGUUUGAUAAAGGACGCAAGAAUACGUACGGAAGCUUCUGCAACGAGACGUCUAGUUUAAACGAAGAUGAUCCACAUGAUCAUCAAAGUUUGGAAGGUCAAGUCCAGAAAAUGAAGAAUGAUAUCCUGGGUUUAAACUAUCCAGAAGAUAGUGAAGUGAAGGAUCCCCUGCCUCAGAUCGAGCUGAAGGCUGUGACAAGGAGAAAAGUUAAGACCAAGAGGAGGACCAGUGCCAACAGGUCCACAGUUGAACAGAGCACUGAUAGUGAUGCGGCUGAGAGAGAUUUUGUUAAUAAUCAGAAUGAUGAAGGUGAGGAAAAGGUGAAGAAGGAUCCGCCGCCUCAGAUGCAGCAGGAUGCCGUGAAAAGAAAUAAAGUCAAGACCAAGAGGACCAAGAGAAACAAAGUGGAGCAGAUCACUGAUACAGAUGCAGGUCAUAAAGGAAACUCUAAUUUCACUGAAUGUAAUCCUUUUGCAUGUAAAUGUAAUUUAGUAUGGACAUCUAUUGAGCAGAGGACUAAUAGCAGAGUGCCAAUGUUA
rnacentral:lncRNA from 13 species